AGCAAUCCCGAAGGUGAGACACAUACGUCCAGCCUAAGGAAGACGCCCCAGCUCGUACAGAGCCUUUUGGUCUGCGUUUGGUAGAAGACUCGGCUGAAAAGGUGGAGGGCCAGGGCUUGAGCAAUGUUUCGGAGUCGGUGAAUGACUCGAGAAACGAAGAGACACAACCACCAGACGUGGCUGCAAAACUGAGCGGACUCCUUGCGGGGAUUCCAACCUUCGCAAGUCCCCAGCGUCUUGCUACUUCCCUCAAGCAGAAGUUUGUUUAUAACUCUGAGGGAUGGCGAGAGUCGAUGCUCGGGACUUCGCGUCGGUUACUGUCCAGUAUAGGGAGUUUCUCAAGGGACAACUCGCCCUGCCCUUUCACAUUUAAUACAGUGUUACGGAUUAUCACGCUGACGCUUGUACAAUCGAUCGAGGUUUUGAUCAGAUGAAACCGCAUCAGACCCUUCUACUAGUAGAGUGCGAAAGAGACGGCAAAAGAGUCUAAGAGAGAAAAAAAAGAAUUCAGAAAGCUCCCUUUCGUAUCGGAGGCGGUGGCCCAUCGGCAAACACUGGGCAAACCAGGCAAAUUGGCAAACAACAGGAGGGAGCGUGUUUAGUCGGCUGGAGCAAUUACUGAUUUUGCGUGAGCGUAUGCCUAGGAGAGCUCGACGCUCGUGACUCGAGAUUGUGCACGCGUGUAUUUUCCGGGCGCACACGUGUGUCGGAACACAGAGGAUUCUCUGGUGACGACUAGCUUAAAAGAAAAGAAAAAGUUCCUACGAUUGUGCGGUCUUCUUGUAAUUGGAGGGCGAUCUUUGAGCGUGCGAACGU